rnacentral:rRNA from 1 species
AAUCAACGCUGGCGGCGUGCCUAACACAUGCAAGUCGAACGAGAAAGUGGAGCAAUCCAUGAGUAAAGUGGCGACCGGGUGAGUAACACGUGACUAACCUACCCUUGAGUGGGGGAUAACCUCGGGAAACCGGGGCUAAUACCGCAUAACAUCUUUGGAUCGGAAGAACUGGAGAUCAAAGGAGCAAUUCGCUUAAGGAGGGGGUCGCGGCUGAUUAGCUAGUUGGCGGGGUAACGGCCCACCAAGGCUUUGAUCGGUAGCCGGCCUGAGAGGGCGCACGGCCACACUGGAACUGAAACACGGUCCAGACUCCUACGGGAGGCAGCAGUGGGGAAUUUUGCGCAAUGGGGGAAACCCUGACGCAGCAACGCCGCGUGGAGGAUGAAGUCCCUUGGGACGUAAACUCCUUUCGACCGGGACGAUAAUGACGGUACCGGUGGAAGAAGCCCCGGCUAACUUCGUGCCAGCAGCCGCGGUAAUACGAGGGGGGCAAGCGUUGUUCGGAAUUAUUGGGCGUAAAGGGCGCGUAGGCGGUGCGGUAAGUCACCUGUGAAAUCUCCGGGCUUAACU